rnacentral:rRNA from 1 species
GACGAACGCUGGCGGCGUGCCUAACACAUGCAAGUCGAGCGGGGUUGAAGCGAGGGGUAACUCGAGUUUCUACCUAGCGGCGGACGGGUGAGUAACGCGUGGGCAACCUGCCUCAAGGACUGGGAUAACAGCUCGAAAGGGCUGCUAAUACCGGAUAAGCCUAUGGCCUCGCAUGGGGCCAUGAGCAAAGGGGAAACCCGCCUUGAGAUGGGCCCGCGUCCCAUCAGCUAGUUGGUGAGGUGAAGGCUCACCAAGGCGACGACGGGUAGCCGGCCUGAGAGGGUGACCGGCCACACUGGGACUGAGACACGGCCCAGACUCCUACGGGGGCAGCAGUGGGGAAUCUUGCACAAUGGGCGAAAGCCUGAUGCAGCGACGCCGCGUGAGCGAAGAAGGCCCUUGGUUGUAAGCUCUGUCUGGAGGGACGAAGGAAGUGACGGUAACCGUCCGGAGGAAGCCACGGCUAACGUAACGUGCCCGAGGCAGCCGCCGGUAAAAAGUCAACGUGUA